ACGGUGAGUAACACGUAUCCAACCUGCCGUCUACUCUUGGACAGCCUUCUGAAAGGAAGAUUAAUACAAGAUGGCAUCAUGAGUCCGCAUGUUCACAUGAUUAAAGGUAUUCCGGUAGACGAUGAGGAUGCGUUCCAUUAGAUAGUAGGCGGGGUAACGGCCCACCUAGUCUUCGAUGGAUAGGGGUUCUGAGAGGAAGGUCCCCCACAUUGGAACUGAGACACGGUCCAA
rnacentral:rRNA from 1 species